GGUGUCCUUUCACAUUAUCCUGAAUGCCACCCACAAAGACAGGUUCACUGUCAAGCGGGCACUUCGAGAGUCUGCUGGAAUUACCUCUCUGGCUCAUCCUGCUUCCCACCCUUGGGGCCCUUCACCAGAGCCAGAUUGGAAGCCUGGCGUUUCAUGCCAAUGUGAGCGUGCCAUCUGUGAGGAGAACCUGCCUAGUUAACUCAAGGCCCCACAAAGUGCCGCUGUGUUUGCUGAGUGCCCUGGGUGAGGGCCCAGGGAUGCUUCCCGGACUACCCGAGAGGUUCUACAAAGACUUUGCUCAGCCAAGCCAAGGCCAGAGGCCAGGUCACAGUUAGUCCCCAGUCCUUCUGUGGCAUGAACUUGAAGAUAAAAACUGGUGGUCAAGAGAGCCUCCCAGUGGCUGCUGCGUGGCACAGCAGGACGGGCAGUCCAAAGGGG